rnacentral:rRNA from 1 species
AGUGAACGCUGGCGGUAGGCCUAACACAUGCAAGUCGAACGGCAGCACAGUAAGAGCUUGCUCUUACGGGUGGCGAGUGGCGGACGGGUGAGGAAUACAUCGGAAUCUACUUUUUCGUGGGGGAUAACGUAGGGAAACUUACGCUAAUACCGCAUACGACCUACGGGUGAAAGCAGGGGAUCUUCGGACCUUGCGCGAUUGAAUGAGCCGAUGUCGGAUUAGCUAGUUGGCGGGGUAAAGGCCCACCAAGGCGACGAUCCGUAGCUGGUCUGAGAGGAUGAGCAGCCACACUAGAAGUGAGUCACGGUCCAGACCCCUACGGGAGCCAGCAGUGGGGAAUAUUGGACAAUGGGCGCAAGCCUGAACCGCCCUGACCUCGUGAGUGAAAAAGGCCUUCGGGUUGCCAAGCCCUUUUGUUGGGAAAGAAAAGCAGCAGGUUAAUAACCCGCUGUUCUGACGGUACCCAAAGAAUAAGCACCGGCUAACUUCGUG